CGGUGUCAUACUAGAGCUGGUGUGUGUAGAGAUUUGACUGAUUGGCUAGAGCGAUUUACGGCUGCCACCACUACGCGGAUACGACAGACUGGGCUGUCGCACCUGCCUAGCAUUAUGCACAACCACCUUGAUUUUCCGCUGAUUUCUGCCUUUGUUGAGAGAUGGCAGCCAGACACGAACACAUUCCACCUACCUUUUGGUGAGAUGACCAUCAUGUUGCACGAUGUACACCAUAUACUUGGUAUUCGGGUUGAUGGGGAUAUGGUUGUCGGUGAUCUCCCUAGUGACCAGUAUAGGACAUUGGUAGGUGGGUUGUUACAGUUGACUCCGGAGGAGCUACAGGUCAAGACUCAGAAUGCCAUCUACAAGAACGGUGGCGUCCAUACUGACCAGAUUAUUGCUAGGUGUCGUAGUGAGGAGCAGCUGGAGGCGGUUCAGGCCAUUGGUUACAUGUGGGUCCUUUUGGGUAACACGCUCUUUACUGACAAGAGCGGUGCCCGUACUCACCCUUCUUUUCUCAGUGAGUUGUGUAUCGAGGAUAACCUGGAGAAAUUGACGAGAUACUCCUGGGGUUCAGCCUCACUAGCGUACUUGUAUCGUUAACUCGGGCAUGCCACCCGAAAUGGAUGUGAUUCUAUCGCGGGUUGCAUGACUCUUCUACAGGCUUGGAUAUACGAGUACUUUCCAUGUUUUCGACCUCACCAGGGUGUGUUGACACGGGACGUCCCUCAUGCUCGUGUAGGGUUAUGGGAUGUUGGUAUGACGCGGAAGCAUCAACAGCGUCUCGUGUCCUUUCGUACUCGACUUGACCAGCUGUGUGACUAUGAGGUAUGUUGGUUGCCAUACGGUGCUUUUCCUGCACAACAGGUGCCUAGGACUAUGUUUACUGGAUGUAUUCGCUAUCGAGGCAUCAUAGAACCAUAUAUGCCCGAUCGAGUUGUUCGACAGUUAGGGUUUAUACAGGAGAUUCCCGGUGACAUGAUGCUCAGAGACCACUUAGUGUGAAGUCUUAUAGGGUCAGUUUUUCAGCUCAGAUGACCACUCUCAUGUGGGAUAGAUUUGUCCCCGGUGCUGCGUUCAGUCUUCUUCUUGGUGGAUAUACUAGAGUUCCACGUGGUGGACAUACUUGUGCCCCUGACUAUCUACCAUGGUUUGGGAGAGUUAGCCAUCCUAUCGUCACUCCUAAUGUUGAGGAUGAUGUCGGUCUUCCUGAGAGGACCAACGUUGAUUACUGGGUAGGGCGAUUCAUGGUUACAACGCAGCGAUCACUUAGUGAGUACCCUAGGCUAUCAAGGGACACCAAAGUAAUGUUGGAGCAGGUGAUUAAUGAUUGGAAUACAAUAAAUGGACUUAGAGAUUAGCUGUAAUAUGUAUUCUAGCUUUGACUUUAUUGUUUUAUUAGACUAUGUUUUGGAUGUUGUUAGUGGACAUUUAUAUUUUAUCACAUUUGUUGAGAAUUAUCAAGUUGA